rnacentral:lncRNA from 1 species
CAUGAAUCACCCAGCGCCCUGGUGAUUCAUGUGUACAUUAAAGUUUGCAAAUAGCCAUGAUUUUUCUGCUUCUUUAGGUAAUGGAGAGUCUUAUAAUGACUUUAGGCUACAAGUAUAGUUUCAAUUUCUAAAUCAGGAUGCCCAUUCUAGAUGUUAAUCAGACCUCCAGUCUUUAUCCAAAGGUCUUCCUGGGAGAUCAAUAACAGAUAUCUUAGAAGAUCAUCUUGAUCCUGCCCUCCUCUUAAAAGCUGGGGUACACGAAGAAGACAGUGGAGUCUACAGGCCAUAUGAGUCAAUUCCUCUCCCCUACACCAGAAAGUUGAGUCAUGAAUGAUUUUCACUCUCACCAAAAAGUCCUUGUUCUUCCCCAUCCCCCCGCAUCCUAGUUCUAAAUGGAAGUAGAUGGCAAAACAAGAACAAGGAUGUUGAUGUUGCCAAAAAGAAAGAAAUGGAAAAUCGGGUUGUGACGCAACAUCUAUCAAGCAGAAGUAAAGGAUGAGAGGGUACAGUUGUUACAGCUCUAAGCCUUAACAGUGAAACUUAACUGAAGAAGGAUAUGGACCUGAUGAGAACGAGGCCUCCUGAGGACAAAUCACACUAGCUCUGCAGAGGAUUGAUGGCUCCAGUAGGCAGAUGGGAAAACCCAUCAAAAUGGGACUUUCCAGGAACAUAACCAUGAAAUUGCAAUUGAAAUGGCUUCUCACUUUUCUUCUUUUAACUAAGUGAGAGUAAAGUCACCAUGCAGGAUGGCAUACUGAUCUGUGCAUGUGUGUAUCUUGGUGUAUUCAUGUUGGAAAGGCUCUUAAGAAAAAAGCUGCUAAGAAUGAGAACUCAAUUUUGAGGAUUUGUCUUAAAGUUUCUUCAAAAAGAUUUCUCAAUGCAAAUGGUACACUUAUUUAAUAUACGGCUAAGGUUAGCAUAGUCUGCCUGCUGCUACCACAGCCCAUCAGUCUGUCUAGCUGCACUGGGGCAGGGGGUGCACCUGGGUUAAGUCUAACAGAACUCUGACCCUUUUUUUUUUUUUUUUUUGAGAUGGAGUUUCACUCUUGUUGCCCAGGCUGGAGUGCAAUGGCACGAUCUCGGCUUACUGCAACCUCCGCCUUCCAGGUUCA